rnacentral:rRNA from 1 species
UAGGGAAUCUUCCGCAAUGGACGAAAGUCUGACGGAGCAACGCCGCGUGAGUGAUGAAGGUUUUCGGAUUGUAAAGCUCUGUUGUUAGGGAAGAACAAGUACCGUUCGAAUAGGGCGGUACCUUGACGGUACCUAACCAGAAAGCCACGGCUAACUACGUGCCAGCAGCCGCGGUAAUACGUAGGUGGCAAGCGUUGUCCGGAAUUAUUGGGCGUAAAGGGCUGCCAGGCGGUUUCGUAAGUCUGCUGUGAAAGCCCCCGGCUCAACCGGGGAGGGUCAUUGGAAACUGGGGAACUUGAGUGCAGAAGAGGAGAGUGGAAUUCCACGUGUAGCGGUGAAAUGCGUAGAGAUGUGGAGGAACACCAGUGGCGAAGGCGACUCUCUGGUCUGUAACUGACGCUGAGGAGCGAAAGCGUGGGGAGCGAACA